rnacentral:rRNA from 1 species
AUGGGAGGAGCACUUCUUCUCCCUCUGCUCUCUCUGCUCUGCUUCGGCUUCCUCAAAGGAGCAAGGCCUUCGACGUUCACAGUGAAGAACAACUGCGCCUAUACUGUGUGGCCGGGCAUCCUCUCCAACGCCGGCGUGGCGCCGCCGUCCACCACCGGCUUCGCGCUCUCCCCGGGCGAGUCCCGUGCCGUGGCCGUCGCCGAUGGCUGGUCCGGCCGCAUGUGGGGCCGCACGCUCUGCGUGCAGAGCUCCUCCUCUGGCGCCGGCUUCGCCUGUGCUACCGGUGACUGCGGCUCUGGCACAGUCGAGUGCUCCGGCCGCGGCGCCGCUCCGCCGGCCACGCUGGCCGAGUUCACGCUCGCUUCCAUCGGAGGCGACGACUUCUACGACGUGAGCCUCGUCGACGGCUUCAACCUGCCGGUGCUGGUCGCGCCGGCAAACGGGAGCUGCCCGACCACAGACUGCCCCACCGAUCUGAACGCGCAGUGCCCGCCGGAGCUGCGCGUCAUCGUGGCCGGCGCGACGGUGGCGUGCCGGAGCGCGUGCGAGGCGUUCGGGACGGAGGCGUACUGCUGCAACGGCGCGCACGGGACGCCGGCGGCGUGCGCGCCCACGGGCUACUCGCGGCUGUUCAAGGCCGCGUGCCCGCGCGCCUACAGCUACGCCUACGACGACGCGACGUCCACGUUCACGUGCGCCGGCGGCAGUGCCGGCUACGGCGUCGUGUUCUGCCCCGCCGGCGGGUCGAGUGGGAACGAGGCAUCGCCACCGACCAGUGCCGCCUACCCACCAAUGGUGUUCUCGUCUGGGGGCGCAGAUCCAGCGACAACCAGGCAUGCCGUCACCCUCCUUCCCCUCCUCACGGCCAUCUUUCAAGCGAUGACGACGAGGUGA